AAUAAGUGCAGCCAUGAGUUUCAGCGCUCAACUUUGAUCGUCCGUCUUAUUUGAAUUUUUUUUAUAAUUAGCAAUUUUGUUGUUAUAAGAUGAUAAAACAUGAAUACUACUUUACUCGUGACUUAUACUCGUGACUUAUGUUUUUAAUUUUUUUCAAAAAAAUUUUAAAUAAGAUGAGUGGUCAAAGUUGAACGUGAAAAAUUAUGGUUGCAUUUAUC
rfam:Oryza glumipatula chromosome 3, whole genome shotgun sequence.